AUGUUUGACGAUCAAGACUUGGGUUUCUUCACCAACUUCCUGGGGAUCUUCAUCUUUGUGUUGGUCAUCGCGUACCACUUUGUGAUGGCAGACCCGAAGUAUGAGAACUGA
rnacentral:rRNA from 1 species